rnacentral:rRNA from 1 species
AGCGAACGCUGGCGGCAGGCCUAACACAUGCAGGUCGAACGGACCCUUCGGGGUUAGUGGCGGACGGGUGAGUAACACGUGGGAACGUGCCUUUAGGUUCGGAAUAGCUCCUGGAAACGGGUGGUAAUGCCGAAUGUGCCCUUCGGGGGAAAGAUUUAUCGCCUUUAGAGCGGCCCGCGUCUGAUUAGCUAGUUGGUGAGGUAAAGGCUCACCAAGGCGACGAUCAGUAGCUGGUCUGAGAGGAUGACCAGCCACAUUGGGACUGAGACACGGCCCAAACUCCUACGAGAGGCAGCAGUGGGGAAUCUUGCGCAAUGGGCGAAAGCCUGACGCAGCCAUGCCGCGUGAAUGAUGAAGGUCUUAGGAUUGUAAAAUUCUUUCACCGGGGACGAUAAUGACGGUACCCGGAGAAGAAGCCCCGGCUAACUUCGUGCCAGCCGCCGCGGUAAUAC